GGCGGUUCUCGGGUGAAACACCCCAGAAUCAGGCUCCCUCCUCUCUGGUUCUGGGUGCAUCACCUGAGAACCGCA
rfam:Myotis lucifugus cont2.13748, whole genome shotgun sequence.